AUCCGGGUUGCGGACAGUGUCUGGUGGGUAGUUUGACUGGGGCGGUCUCCUCCUAAAGAGUAACGGAGGAGCACGAAGGUUGGCUAAUCCUGGUCGGACAUCAGGAGGUUAGUGCAAUGGCAUAAGCCAGCUUGACUGCGAGCGUGACGGCGCGAGCAGGUGCGAAAGCAGGUCAUAGUGAUCCGGUGGUUCUGAAUGGAAGGGCCAUCGCUCAACGGAUAAAAGGUACUCCGGGGAUAACAGGCUGAUACCGCCCAAGAGUUCAUAUCGACGGCGGUGUUUGGCACCUCGAUGUCGGCUCAUCACAUCCUGGGGCUGAAGUAGGUCCCAAGGGUAUGGCUGUUCGCCAUUUAAAGUGGUACGCGAGCUGGGUUUAGAACGUCGUGAGACAGUUCGGUCCCUAUCUGCCGUGGGCGCUGGAGAACUGAGGGGGGCUGCUCCUAGUACGAGAGGACCGGAGUGGACGCAUCACUGGUGUUCGGGUUGUCAUGCCAAUGGCACUGCCCGGUAGCUAAAUGCGGAAGAGAUAAGUGCUGAAAGCAUCUAAGCACGAAACUUGCCCCGAGAUGAGUUCUCCCUGAGACUUAGAGUCUC
rnacentral:rRNA from 3 species